UGUAUGAUAUGAAUUUAGUAGAAUAGAUAUAAUUUUAUCUAUAUUAAAUAAAUAAUUGAUUAAGUUUCAUAAUUGUGUACUUGUGUCAUAUAUGUUUGGGAAAUUAUUUUUAAUCUUUAUUCACCAAAUUUGUAAUUUGUAAUAUAUUUUUGUACUUUCAUAUAUGAUAACAUUUUUAAUUUUCCACAUUUUAUUUCUAAACUUAAGUAGGUGUUUUAAUAGAAUAGACAUUACAGAUAACCCUAAAAAAUGUUUGAUAAUAAUAUAGAUUAGUAAUAUCUAAUUAAGGUCAAUUAGAUUUAAAAAAAAAAAAAAAAAGAUAAAAACCCAUACAAAUACACAAUGCAAAACAAUGCAUCAAAUUUGAGGUCCCAGGCCCAAAUAAAUAAAUAAAUCCUGACCACAAACUUAUUAUACAGAAAAAAAAAUCUUUUUAGAAAGAUCAGCUCGAAAAUAAAGUUUCUCUCUCCCUCUUUCUAUUACAACCGACCAGAUCUUGUCUCAGCUCAAAUUUAAUCGAUCUGUAAAAAAAAUUGCUCAGAUCAGCUCAGAUGUGACGGAUCCUCUGUUUCUUUUGAUGAGGGAUCUGAGUGAAGCUGAUCUUAAUCGAUGAUAAUAUAUGUGUCUGAAGUGUACUGGAGGGAAGGAAAGGUCAACAAAACCAAAGCAUUGAUCUUGUCUCCAUUGAAAAAGAAGAUGUCUGAAAAGAAACUCGUUUUUGUGUCUAUAGCAUCACCAAACAAUUUAACUCCUACAUCUGAAAAGCAAGCCUGUACUCUACUAUGGCGGGUCCCCUACUAUGGCCUGAACGCGUGGAAGACUGUGGAAGCUGACAUGAGUGGCUCUAUUGGUUUGAAACCAGAGCAGUAAAAAUAUACAUGGCUCCUAUGAAGAUCCCAGGCGCUCAUUAUUAUAAAAGAAGUAAAAUGAUGUUAGGAAACCAAUCAAAGCCAUAUCAGACUAACUUUGAGAUCGACAGG